rnacentral:rRNA from 1 species
GACAGAGGAUGCAAGCGUUAUCCGGAAUGAUUGGGCGUAAAGCGUCUGUAGGUGGCUUUUCAAGUCCGCCGUCAAAUCCCAGGGCUCAACCCUGGACAGGCGGUGGAAACUGCCAAGCUGGAGUACGGUAGGGGCAGAGGGAAUUUCCGGUGGAGCGGUGAAAUUCGUAGAUAUCGGGAGGAACACCAGUGGCGAAGGCGGCGACCUGGGCCAAUAUUGACGCUGAGGUGCGAAAGCGUGGGGAGCAAACAGG